UCCGGCUUGUCGCCGGCGGUCUCUCUAGAGUCCCCACCAUUACGUGCUGGCAACUAAAGACGGGGGUUGCGCUCGUUGCGGAACUUAAUCCAACACCUCACGGCACGAGCUGACGACAGCCAUGCAACACCUAUCGCAGGCCCUUACGGACACCACAUCUCUGUGGCUUUUCCUGCGUAGUUCAGCCCAGGUAAGGUUCUUCGCGUUACAUCGAAUUAAGCCACAUGCUCCGCCGCUUGUGCGGGUCCCCGUCAAUUCCUUUGAGUUUUAGCCUUGCGGCCGUACUCCCCAGGCGGGGUGCUUAAUGCGUUAGCUGCGGCACAGAAAGCGUCGAUAGCUUCCCACACCUAGCACCCAUCGUUUACGGCGUGGACUAC
rnacentral:misc_RNA from 1 species